rnacentral:misc_RNA from 1 species
GGUGCUGGGUUUAGCUAACGCGACGGCGUAUGAGUGGUGAUUGGGCUGUAUCCGACGGCAGGCUCCGUGCUUCGGCAUCGAACUGUCGGCUCGUACCCCGCUUCAUUGAUGCAUCAAGAUCCGUCUUGCGCGCGACACGGGUUUCUGUUCUGGCUACCUACCGCGAAGGAAUGCUGCCUCUCGUCGUCCCUUUCCUCCUCUUGCCGGCCUUGCCGGCGGGAGGACGACAUCGUAGCGAUGCUCGUGUCCCGAACAUGCCGCGCGCCCGUUGCGACGCGGUUUCGGUCCUCGAGUUUUCGCUCGACAUCUCGGAUGCGGAACGCCAAAGGGGCGGUGGGUCUUUACGGCCUCCGAUCGUCCCCUCGAAGCCUUGUCGCUUGAUGCGUACGACCGUCGCGCCCGUUGCGGGCCGUCGACCGUCAAGGUCGUCGGUCCAGCGCGGCGCCGACGUCGGAGAGGAAUGC